rnacentral:rRNA from 1 species
CCUACGGGUGGCUGCAGUGGGGAAUAUUGGACAAUGGGGGCAACCCUGAUCCAGCCAUGCCGCGUGUGUGAAGAAGGCCCUCGGGUUGUAAAGCACUUUCAGUGGGGAAGAACGCCUGGUGGUUAAUACCCAUCAGGAAAGACAUCACUCACAGAAGAAGCACCGGCUAACUCCGUGCCAACAGCCGCGGUAAUACGGAGGGUGCGAGCGUUAAUCGGAAUUACUGGGCGUAAAGCGCGCGUAGGUGGCUUGAUAAGCCGGUUGUGAAAGCCCCGGGCUCAACCUGGGAACGGCAUCCGGAACUGUCAAGCUAGAGUGCAGGAGAGGAAGGUAGAAUUCCCGGUGUAGCGGUGAAAUGCGUAGAGAUCGGGAGGAAUACCAGUGGCGAAGGCGGCCUUCUGGACUGACACUGACACUGAGGUGCGAAAGCGUGGGUAGCAAACAGGAUUAGAUACCCCGGUAGUC